rnacentral:rRNA from 1 species
AUUGAACGCUGGCGGCAGGCCUAACACAUGCAAGUCGAGCGCGCGGCGCACGGGUGAGUAAUGUCUGUGAAACUGCCUGAUGGAGGGGGAUAACUACUCGAAACGGUAGCUAAUACCGCAUACAAUCAGGUAUGCCCAGAUGGGAUUAGCUGGUAGGUGGGGGAACGGCUCACCUAGGCGACGAUCCCUAGCUGGUCUGAGAGGAUGACCAGCCACACUGGGACUGAGACACGGUCCAGACUCCUACGGGAGGCAGCAGUGGGGAAUAUUGCACAAUGGGCGCAAGCCUGAUGCAGCCAUGCCGCGUGUGUGAAGAAGGCCUUCGGGUUGUAAAGCACUUUCAGCGAGGAGGCGUUACCCGCAGAAGAAGCACCGGCUAACUCCGUGCCAGCAGCCGCGGUAAUAC